rnacentral:rRNA from 1 species
GGGGGGGGGGGGGGGCGGGCCUGAGGCGGGGGAGGCGAGCGGCCGGACGAGGGGCUGGCGCGUCGGGCGGUAGCGGCGGAGGGGAGGGUGACACGUGGCUAACCUACCUAUCAGCCUGGGAGAACUUCGGGAAACCGGAGCUAACACCGGAUACUCGAUUAAACCGCAUGUUUCACUAGUGCACGACGCUUGUGCGUCCACUUCUAGAUGGAUCCGCGCCGCAUUAGCUAGUUGGUAAGGUAACGGCUUACCCAGGCAACGAUGCGUAGCCGACCUGAGAGGGUGAUCGGCCACACUGGAACUGAGACACGGUCCAGACUCCUACGGGAGGCAGCAGUAGGGAAUCUUCCGCAAUGGGCGAAAGCCUGACGGAGCAACGCCGCGUGAGUGAUGAAGGUCUUCGGAUCGUAAAACUCUGUUAUUAGGGAAGAACAAAUGUGUAAGUAACUAUGCACGUCUUGACGGUACCUAAUCAGAAAGCCACGGCUAACUACGUG